GGAGGUGUGGGGAGCUGCAAUGAGUGUGCUGCUCAGGUAGUGUGGGUUAUAGGAGGUGUGGGGAGGUGUGUACACGGGUGUACAUACAGGGAUCGCAGGGGUUGCAGCUGCAACCGGGCCCAUCACUCCAGGGCCCCCGGCAGUGAGCGUGUUGCUCAGGUAGUGUGAGUUAUAGGAGGUGUGGGGAGCUGCAGUGAGCGUGCUGCUCAGGUAGUGUGUGUUAUAGGAGGUGUGGGGAGGUGUGGGGAGAUGCAGUGAGCGUGCAGCUCAGGUAGUGUGUGCUAUACGUGGUGUGGGGAGCUGCAGUGAGUGUGCUGCUCAGGUAGUGUGAGUUAUAGGAGGUGUGGGGAGCUGCAGUGAGCGUGCAGCUCAGGUAGUGUCGGUUAUAGGAGGUGUGGGGAGCUGCAGUGAGCAUUAUAAUUUUUUUCCAUGUAUAAAUUAAUGAGUACCCCUGUCUGCUGUGAAGUAUCAAAAAUCUGAUAUCUAUAGUUUAAUUUGUGUUUUUACAUUUAGGCACAAAUUAUAUCCACGAUGAGCAUCAUUAUUAUACUAUAUAAGUAGGAUGCCAUUUUCCUGGAUUUAAUGAGAGAAAUGAACACAUGCGCUGUCUGUAAAACAAAGCAGAGAUAUAUAUUAUUAUGUUCUUUGUAUAAUAUGUGUUUACUUACCCCAGAAGCUGACACAGAGCUUACUCUGCUUUGGUCACUUUGAUGUAAAUAUGUAAAGAUUACAAAUUUGCAGGACUCACUGUUUAGCAGAUAACUAGCUGGAGUUUAUCCCCUGAAGGACACAUGACGAAAAUAUUCCGUCACGAUUCCCUUUUAUUGCAGAAGUUGUGUCCUUAAGGGGUUAAAAAAUGUAACAAUUGUUUGAUUUUUUCACACAGCGUACGGCUGUGGCGUAUCCACCAACCAGCCAGCGCUGUCCAGAGUUGUAAAUGGUGCUGAGGUAGUUCCACACAGUUGGCCUUGGCAGGUAAGUUGUUUUUAAUCUCCUCUUUGUCUCUUGGUACCUAAUAUCCUCUGGAACUCAGUACAGCCCAAUCUGGCACCCAGUACAGUGCAGACUGGCACCUAGUAUGGUGCAGACUGGCACUCGGUACAGCACAGACUGGCAUCCUGUACAGCUUUUACUGGCACCCUGUACAACCCAGACUGGCACCCAGUUCAGCAUAGACUGACACUCAGUACAGCCCAAACUGGCACCCAGUAUAGUGCAGACUGGCACCUAGUACAGCCCAGACUGGCACCCAGUACAGCCCAGACUGGCACCUAGUUCAGUGCACACUAUUAAACUGGUAACACCCAAGUCUUGGAAUAGUGGGUUAGUAAAACCACACAAAUUUGUCUAUUGAUCUGAAUUCAAUGUAUAGCUCCACUGUGGCCCUGUAGCGCUGUGUGUCUGUCAGAGAGCUUUAGGAGGAGAGUGUGUAUUGAUCUGUACACACAUUAAUUCAGGUAUCAGGUGUCAGAGAUGUACAAUGUAUCGACGGACACGCAGACAGAAACAAUAAAGUUUUAAUCAUUGUGUCUGUCAUUCAGGCCUCUGUCCAAUACACCUACAAUGGCUACUGGUACCACACGUGCGGAGGGACACUUAUUGCACCCAACUGGGUCCUGACAGCAGGCCACUGCAUUAGGUAAGUGGACAGUCUUACCAUGAUCAUUAUA
rnacentral:lncRNA from 1 species